UAUAUAUAUAUAUAUAUAUACAACUUCAAUAUUAAUAGUUGCACGCAUGGUAACAUACAAUAGCGUUGACAAUACUGCUAUAGUAACUACAUUAGCACCAGGAAAUAAAUUAACUCACCGCCUAAUAAGCCAGUACUGCAACUUCCUUAUUAAAUAAUUAGCUGAAAUAGUAACACAUGUAUAAUUUGCAAUAAUUGCAGAAAUGAAGUUCUAAAGAAAUAAUUUUCAUGGUAGCUAAUUUUGCAUCAUUACACACACAUUAGACUAGCCAAACAACUUCUAUGGAAUUCUAAUAAAAGAAAGCAACAAAACCACAUAAACACAACAUAUAUUACGCAUCAAAUGAUGAUUGACUACAGAAACAACACAAUGCUAAAGACAAUGCCGAAGCAUCCAACAAAAAAACUUGGGGUCAUUGGUUGCAAGACUUAAACAUAGCACAAAGAAAUAUUAUCUCUCAUAUUGGAUACUCCUAUAGAGAAUUUUGACAUAGCCUAUAUACCAUGUGGGUGGGCCUCUCCAUUUGGUAGUUUUUAGGAUGGUUGAUGCUUUAUUAUCUUAGAGCCAUAUUUAUGAUUUCAAGAGUUGCGUAUAACCUAUUUGUCUCUCAUUUCAGUUCAUUUCUUCAAUUUUUGUCAGCAUUAUGCAUAGAGAGCGAAUAAGCCUGCAAUAUUGAUUAUCUCAAAGGGUUGUAGCCUCUUCCUCCUCCUUGUCUGUGUCUAUGGCAAAGGGUAGUGGUUUGGUUUGUUAGGGGUCUUAUUAGGUACUCUAUUUGACAAUUGACGCCAAAAUUUACAUGCCACUUAUAUUGGGAAUCGUUCCUACCAAUUAUCAAUAGUCUAUAUAAAAGUGAAAACACUCCAUAAAUGACGUUAAAGUAAUUAACAAUAACUAUUUCAACAUAAGCCUACCAAGAAGAGCUUUGUUGAAAAGAGUAAAAGAUUUUAUAUCUAUGCCUUCUUAUACAUCAGUGGUUUGACAAUGUGCCAACUUGUUAGUUCACACUCGACCUUAUCCCCCAUUACCUUCAAAGAAAUCAUUUUGGAAUUCUUAUCUUCUGAUUCUUGAACAAGUUACGGGAAAUAGAAUUGUGAAGUAAACAGAAAGUGGGAACUAGGAAGGAUACUGUGAAGUUUCAUGUGGUAUUCUAGGGAAGUAUUAUGCCCAUAAUAGGGAUUUGAUUUUAUUAAUAUACUUUCAAAAUUAGGAAUGCUUUUCUAACCUAAAAACGCGAUUCUAGGCUUCAUGUGGUUCAAUUUUUUGCUUUUUGAAAAGCAUUGUCUAGCAAAUUUUGGUUUUACCAUAAAGCAAAACUAAUAAUAAAAAGGCAUGCUUCAUAAAUAUGUAAAUUUCAAUUCAAAGAAAUAAGAAAAUAGCAAUGGUAAAAGAGAGAGAGAGAGACAGAG
rnacentral:misc_RNA from 1 species